rnacentral:rRNA from 1 species
AGAGUUUGAUCCUGGCUCAGAACGAACGCUGGCGGCAUGCCUAACACAUGCAAGUCGAACGAGACCUUCGGGUGGGUGUUCUAGUGGCGAACGGGUGAGUAACACGUGGGCAACCUGCCCCCGGCUCUGGGAUAACUCCAAGAAAUUGGGGCUAAUACCGGAUAUGACUGCUGACCGCAUGGUCUGGUGGUGGAAAGUUUUUCGGCUGGGGAUGGGCCCGCGGCCUAUCAGCUUGUUGGUGGGGUAGUGGCCUACCAAGGCGACGACGGGUAGCCGGCCUGAGAGGGUGACCGGCCACACUGGGACUGAGACACGGCCCAGACUCCUACGGGAGGCAGCAGUGGGGAAUAUUGCGCAAUGGGCGGAAGCCUGACGCAGCGACGCCGCGUGGGGGAUGACGGCCUUCGGGUUGUAAACCUCUUUCAGCAGGGACGAAGCGGAAGUGACGGUACCUGCAGAAGAAGCACCGGCCAACUACGUGCCAGCAGCCGCGGUAAUACGUAGGGUGCAAGCGUUGUCCGGAAUUAUUGGGCGUAAAGAGCUCGUAGGCGGUUCGUCGCGUCGGCUGUGAAAACCCGGAGCUCAACUCCGGGCCUGCAGUCGAUACGGGCGGACUUGAGUGUUGCAGGGGAGACUGGAAUUCCUGGUGUAGCGGUGAAAUGCGCAGAUAUCAGGAGGAACACCGGUGGCGAAGGCGGGUCUCUGGGCAACUACUGACGCUGAGGAGCGAAAGCGUGGGGAGCGAACAGGAUUAGAUACCCCUGUAGUCC